rnacentral:rRNA from 1 species
GAUGAACGCUAGCGAUAGGCCUAACACAUGCAAGUCGAGGGGCAUCACAUGCAGCAGCAAUGCGGAUGGUGGCGACCGGCGCACGGGUGAGUAACACGUAUGCAACCUGCCUUCAACAAGGGCAUAACCCGUUGCAAGACGGACUAAUUCCCUAUGACACAGGGGUCCCGCAUGGGGAUCUUUGUCAAAGAUUUUAUCGGUUGCAGAUGGGCAUGCGUUCCAUUGGCUUGUUGGCGGGGUAACGGCCCACCAAGGCAACGAUGGAUAGGGGAACUGAGAGGUUUAUCCCCCACACUGGUACUGAGACACGGACCAGACUCCUACGGGAGGCAGCAGUGAGGAAUAUUGGUCAAUGGACGCAAGUCUGAACCAGCCACGUCGCGUGAAGGAAGACGACCCUACGGGUUGUAAACUUCUUUUAUACGGGAAUAAAGUGCCCCACGUGUGGGGUUUUGCAUGUACCGUAUGAAUAAGGAUCGGCUAACUCCGUGCCAGCAGCCGCCGUAA